rnacentral:rRNA from 1 species
CCUACGGGACGCAGCAGUGGGGAAUAUUGCACAAUGGACGCAAGUCUGAUGCAGCCAUACCGCGUGUGUGAAGAAGGCCCGAGGGUUGUAAAGCACUUUCAAUAGGGAGGAAGAUUAAACGGUUAAUACCCGUUUAGUUUGACGUUACCUAUAGAAGAAGCACCGGCUAACUCUGUGCCAGCAGCCGCGGUAAUACAGAGGGUGCAAGCGUUAUUCGGAAUUACUGGGCGUAAAGCGCGCGUAGGCGGAUGAUUAAGUCAGUUGUGAAAGCCCUGGGCUCAACCUAGGAACUGCAUCUGAUACUGGUCAUCUAGAGUUUAAGAGAGGGAAGUGGAAUUCCAGGUGUAGCAGUGAAAUGCGUAGAUAUCUGGAGGAACAUCAGUGGCGAAGGCGACUUCCUGGCUUAAAACUGACGCUGAGGUGCGAAAGCGUGGGUAGCGAACGGGAUUAGAUACCCCGGUAGUCCACCCCGUCUACGAUGUCAACUAGUUGUUGGUCUUAUUAAAAAGA